rnacentral:rRNA from 1 species
UACGGGGGGGGCAAGCGUUGUUCGGAAUUACUGGGCGUAAAGGGCUCGUAGGUGGCCAACUAAGUCAGACGUGAAAUCCCUCGGCUUAACCGGGGAACUGCGUCUGAUACUGGAUGGCUUGAGUUCGGGAGAGGGAUGCGGAAUUCCAGGUGUAGCGGUGAAAUGCGUAGAUAUCUGGAGGAACACCGGUGGCGAAGGCGGCAUCCUGGGACCCGACACUGACACUGAGGAGCGAAAGCCAGGGGACGCAAACGGG